UACGUAGGGUGCGAGCGUUAAUCGGAAUUACUGGGCGUAAAGCGUGCGCAGGCGGUUUUCCAAGACAGAUGUGAAAUCCCCGGGCUUAACCUGGGAAUGGCAUUUGUGACUGGAAGGCUAGAGUGUGUCAGAGGGGGGUAGAAUUCCACGUGUAGCAGUGAAAUGCGUAGAGAUGUGGAGGAAUACCGAUGGCGAAGGCAGCCCCCUGGGAUGACACUGACGCUCAUGCACGAAAGCGUGGGGAGCAAACAGG
rnacentral:rRNA from 1 species